GGAGGGGGCGAGCGUUAUUCGGAAUUAUUGGGCGUAAAGGGCGCGUAGGCGGCCUGGUAAGUCAAAGGUGAAAUCCCUCGGCUCAACUGAGGAAUUGCCUUUGAAACUGCUGGGCUUGAGUCCGGGAGGGGGUAGCGGAAUUCCCAGUGUAGCGGUGAAAUGCGUAGAUACUGGGAGGAACACCAGUGGCGAAGGCGGCUACCUGGACCGGAACUGACGCUGAUGCGCGAAAGCGUGGGGAGCAAACAGGAUUAGAUACCCUGGUAGUCCACGCUGUAAACGAUGGGUGCUCGGUGUCGCGGGUAUCGACCCCUGCGGUGCCUUAGCUAACGCGUUAAGCACCCCGCCUGGGGAGUACGGUCGCAAGGCUGAA
rnacentral:rRNA from 1 species